CGGAUCACUUGAGUCCAGGAGUUCAAGACCAGCCUGGGCAACAUAGCAAGACUACGUCGUUAAAAAAAAAAGAGAGAGAAAGAAAGAAAUACAUGGUGGCGUGCGCCUGUAGUCCCAGCUACUCGGAAGGCUGAGGUGGGAAGAUGACUUGAACUCCUGAGGCAAAGGUUGUGGUGAGCUGAAUUUCUGCCACCGCACUCCAGCCUGGGUGACAGAGCCAGGCCCUGUCUCAAAACAAAACAAAACAAAACAAACAAACAAAAAUGAAAAAAUAACAGUGCUUGGCCUGGAGGUAUUGUUUACUUCGAGCAGAACAUUUGAGAUGGAACAUAUUCUGGGAGGAAGAUCAAGAGUUUAAGAUUGGGAAGUUUUAGGUUUGAAGUGCCUAUGGAGAAAAUUUUUUUUGGUGUUUUUGGUUUUGUUUUUUUUGAGACAGGGUCUCACUCUGUCACCAAGACUGGAGUGCAGUGGCGCAAUCACAGCUUGCUGCAGCCUCGACCUCCUGGGCUGAGAUGAUCCUCUCACCUCAGCCUCCCCAGUAGAUGGAACUACUGGUGCACACCACCAUGCCUGGCUAAUUUUUUGUAUUUUUUUUUGUAGAGACAGGGUUUUGUCAUGUUGCCCAGGCUGGUCUCGAACUCCUGGCCUCAAGCGAUCCGCCAGCCUCAGCCUCCCAAAGUGCUGGGAUUACCGGUGUGAGCCACCGCACUCAGCCGGAUCUCGCUCUGUCGCCCAGGCUGUAGUGCAGUGGCGCAAUCUCGGCCCACUGCAACCUCUGCCUCCUGGGUUCAAGUGAUUUUCCUGCCUCAGCCUCCUGAGUAGCUGCGACUACAGAUACGUGCCACCAGGCCCGGCUAAUUUUUUGUAUUUUUAGUAGAGACGGGGUUUCACCGUGUUAGCAAGGAUGGUCUCGAUCUCCUUACCUCGUGAUCCACCUGCCUCAGCCUCCCAAAGUGCUGGGAUUACAGGCGUGAGCCACUGUGCCCGGCCUCUUUUUUUGUUUUUUUUAACUUUUAUUUUAGAUUCACGGGGUACGUGUGCAGGUUUGUUAUAUGGGUAAAUUGUGUGACACUGAGGUUUGGAAUACGAUUGAUCCCAUCACCCAUGUAAUGAGCACGGUACCCAAUAGGUAGUUUUUCUUUUUCUUUUUUUCUUUGAGACAGGGUCUUGCUCUGUUGCCCAGGCUGGAGUGCAAUGGCACGAUCUCAGCUCACUGCAACCUCCGCCUCCUGGGUUCAAGUGGUUCGUCUGCCUCAGCCUCCCAAGUAGCUAGGAUUACAGGUGUGCACCACCACACCUGGCUAAUUUUUGUAUUUUAAGUAGAGAUGGGGUUUCGCCAUGAUAGCCAGGCUGGUCUUGAACUCCUGGCCUCAAGUGAUCUACCUGCCUUGGCCUCCCAAAGUGCUGGGAUUACAGGCGUGAGCCACCAUGCCUGGCCCCAUUAGGUAUUAAUAGUUUUCAACCCUUGCCCCAUCUUCUUCCUUCUUCCCCCUAGUGGUCCCCAGUGUCUAUUGAUGCCGUCUUUAUGUCCAUGAGUACCCAAUGUUUAGCUCCUGUUUACAAGUGAGAACAUAUGGUAUUUGGUUUUCUGUUCCUGCUCUAAAUUCACUUAAGAGAAUGGACUCCAGCUGCAUCCAUGUUGCUGCAAAAAACAUGUUUCUUUGUUUCUUCAUUUUGUUUCUUUUUAUGGCUGCAUAGUAUUCCAUAACAUACAUGUACCAUUUUCUUUAUCCAGUCCACCAUUGAUGGGCACCUAAGCUGAGUUCAUGUCUUUGCUCUUGUGAAUAGUGCUGCAAGGAACAUACGAGUGCAUAUUUCUUUCUGGUAGAAGGAUUUUUUUUCUUUUGGGUAAAUACCCAGUAAUGAGAUUGCUGGGUCAAACUGUAGUUCUAUUUUUAGUUCUUUGAGAAAUCCAGGAGAAAUGUUUAAUAGGUGGCUGUAGACACAGUCCUGGAAUUCAGCAGAGAAAUCUGGGUUGGAAUAGAGCCCCAAGAGUGAGUGGCACAUUCUAGCAGAUGACGUCAUAAAGAGGUGCAGGGAAAAGACAAGAUGGCCUAAGACCAAGCUCUGAGGAACUCCGACAUUUAGAGGUCAGGUGGAGAACAAGUUGCCAAAGGAGAAGCCGGCGAACUAAGAAGAAAAUCAGGAGGAUGCGGACUUCUGGAACCCAAAAGAAAAGAGUGUUCCAAAAAAGGAAUGGGAAACUGUGCUGAAGGCUGCAGAGACAUGAAGCAAGCCUGCCCUGAGAAGUGUGCAGUGGAUUGGGUAGAAGCCACUGUAGCUCUGCCUACGGCAUUUGCAAUGGCCCAGAUGUCUCUUCCCCGUGUGCCGACUUGGUGUACAUCCAAUGGCUGACUGAAUAU
rnacentral:lncRNA from 1 species